rnacentral:tRNA from 1 species
AAGAAGCUAGUUAAAAUAUAACAUAGGAUUGUCAAUCCUAAGUAACUCUGCUGAGUGCUUCUUA